UGUAUCAUUUGUGAGAUUUAGGUUGAGAUUUACUUUUUUUUUUUUUUUUUUUUGCUAUGGAUGUCCAAUUACUCCAACAUCGUUUUUUGAAAAGACUAUCCUUUCCCCCAUUGAAUUGCCUUGUACCUUCAUCAAAAAUCAAUUUGCCAGGGCACCUGGGUAGCUUCGUUGGUUAGACAUCCCUCUUUGGCUCAGGUCAUGACCUCAGGGUCCUGGGAUAGAGCCACUUAUCAGGCUCUCUGCUCAGCAGGGAAUCUGCUUCUCCCUCUCCCUCUGUGCUCAUUCUCUCUCUCUCUCUCUCUCUCAAAUAAAUAAAUAAAGCCUUUAAAAAAUCAAUUUGCCAUAUAUUAAUAGGUUUAUAGGUUUGGGCUCUCUAUGCCAUUGAUCUAUAUGUCUAUCCCUUCACCAAUAUCACACUGUCAUACAGUAAUAGGUCUUAAAAUCAAGUAGUGUGAUUCAAUUUUCUUCUUUUUCAAAAUUGUUCUGGCUAUUCUAGUUCCUUUGCUUUUCCACACACAUUUUAGAAUUGGCUUGUCUAUACCUAUAAGAAAUCCUGCUGGGGUUUUAAUUGGAAUUGUGUUAAAUAUAGAUUGACUUGGGAGGAAAUUGGCAUCCUUGCUAUAUGAAGACUUCUAAUCCAUGAACCUGGUAUGUCUCUUCUCCAUCCCGUUUAGUUUGAUUGAUUUCAGAAUCUUCCCUUCCCUCUGGGCAAUGGCACACCUCAAAAUGUUGGGCUUCAAGAUGAAAAGAGCACCAUCUGGAGACCCCCACCUCCUCACCCCCCAACAAGUACAGAUUUUCGCCCGAGAGGAGGAUUUCUCCAGUAGAAGCUGUCAGCAACCAGAGUGGCUGGGAGAGGCCCCGCCAAUGUUUUCAUGUCUCGCACACAACCCCAUCUGGCGCUGCGUACGUGAUGUGUGAAGUGUGUGCACACACGCGCUUGCACGCACCCAGAGGACGGCCCCUCUCCCCAUCGCUCACCCUGGGCAGGCCCGCAGCGCUCACUAUAAAUCACCUCAGCGCCGAGAGGCCAGGAAUAUGCUGAGUCAUCUAAUUGGCCAGAAAGACAGUGAUAGAAUGAUUACCUCCCGCUCAGCCUCACAGGAGCCAGCCGCCGGAGGACGCCCCAAAUUGUCUUCCGUUGUCAUGUUAAUCACGAUCUUCUGGCCUUGGCCAAGGACUGGGCCAAGACGGAGACCCCCCUGAGGUCCCCCAGACCUGUCUGCAACCCAGCCCUCCUGGGACCCGGACUUCUAGCACCCUGGGCCCCUGGGCCCGAUGAGGUGGUGAUUCAGGGGGCCUCUCUGUAAAAGGAAGCCUCGCCACCACAGGGCCCUUUGAGGGUCUCCCAGGAAGGCCACUUUUUAAAUAAACCUACAAUUAAGUGGAUCUACGGGAUCCCU
rnacentral:lncRNA from 12 species